UAUUAAGCCUGAUUGAAACGGAAAGCCCGGAGCGAGGCACGAGUGAGGACUUGAAGUGUAAAGCAGGGCAGGAG
rnacentral:ncRNA from 2 species